rnacentral:piRNA from 1 species
UACCUCUACUACAACGUGUUUUCUCAGC